rnacentral:rRNA from 1 species
GAUGAACGCUGGCGGCGUGCCUAAUACAUGCAAGUAGAACGCUGAAGCUUGGUGCUUGCACCGAGCGGAUGAGUUGCGAACGGGUGAGUAACGCGUAGGUAACCUGCCUGGUAGCGGGGGAUAACUAUUGGAAACGAUAGCUAAUACCGCAUAACAGUAGAUGUUGCAUGACAUUUGCUUGAAAGGGGCAAUUGCUCCACUACCAGAUGGACCUGCGUUGUAUUAGCUAGUUGGUGAGGUAACGGCUCACCAAGGCGACGAUACAUAGCCGACCUGAGAGGGUGAUCGGCCACACUGGGACUGAGACACGGCCCAGACUCCUACGGGAGGCAGCAGUAGGGAAUCUUCGGCAAUGGGGGCAACCCUGACCGAGCAACGCCGCGUGAGUGAAGAAGGUUUUCGGAUCGUAAAGCUCUGUUGUAAGAGAAGAACGAGUGUGAGAGUGGAAAGUUCACACUGUGACGGUAACUUACCAGAAAGGGACGGCUAACUACGUGCCAGCAGCCGCGGUAAUACGUAGGUCCCGAGCGUUAUCCGGAUUUAUUGGGCGUAAAGCGAGCGCAGGCGGUUAGAUAAGUCUGAAGUUAAAGGCUGUGGCUUAACCAUAGUACGCUUUGGAAACUGUUUAACUUGAGUGCAGAAGGGGAGAGUGGAAUUCCAUGUGUAGCGGUGAAAUGCGUAGAUAUAUGGAGGAACACCGGUGGCGAAAGCGGCUCUCUGGUCUGUAACUGACGCUGAGGCUCGAAAGCGUGGGGAGCAAACAGG